CGCGUAGGCGGGAUGGCAAGUCGGUCGUGAAAUCCCUCGGCUCAACUGAGGAGCGUCGAUCGAAACUGCCGUUCUUGAGGGUUGCAGAGGAGACUGGAAUUCCCGGUGUAGCGGUGAAAUGUGUAGAGAUCGGGAGGAACACCGGUGGCGAAGGCGGGUCUCUGGGCAACUCCUGACGCUGAGGCGCGAAAGCGUGGGAGCAAACG
rnacentral:rRNA from 1 species